rnacentral:rRNA from 1 species
AUGUCGGCGCUCGAGAUUCUUGAGUUUGUUAUGGCUGUAGGUUGCUAUCCAAAUGUCUCUGUUUCCUAUUGGAUCCUCUUAACAAUGCAUGUGACUGUAGCCUCAGCUGAAAGAAGUUUCUCUAAACUGAAACUACUGAAAAAUUGUUUGAGGUCAACUAUGUUGCAAGAUAGAUCGAAUGACUUGGCUAUGUGCCGCAUUGAGAAGGAUAUCUUGGACAAUGUUGAUCAUGAUAUUGCCCUAAAUGACUUUGCAUCAAGAAACGUCUGA